rnacentral:snRNA from 1 species
AUCGCUUCUCGGCCUUUUGGCUAAGAUCAAGUGUAGUAUCUGUUCUUAUCAGUUUGAUGGGGUUGUUUGUUUUUUCCUUGUAAAUUCGUUUAAGUUCCUUGUAGAUUCUGGAUAUUAGCCCUU